UACUUCGUACAUAUGCAAUUGCGCUCCUUUGUUGGUGUAGGUGAGAAAUUCAUUCAGACAGACGUGACGAACCAAAUUUUGGACUAGGAGUAGUUUGUAUUCGAUGGUUACCCCGUCAAGGGUCAGCGGUAUAUACUAAUAACGUGACGUGGCGAAUGUGUUUUGCAAUUUGUUUAUAUGGAGCGAAAAAUAUAUCUCAGCUGUCCUCAAGCUUUCGAUAUCCCCGUGUUUGGUGGUCAAGAGAAAAGAGUCGCCCUUGAUAUGUCAGAAAAUAUGGAAUACUCCUACACGAUGGUCCAAACUUUAAUGGAAAAAGCACGCUCACAAUGUAGAUCAGACGCCUACACGGAGAAAUAUGGAGAAAUUCCUCUCUUCGCCCACGAGUCACGUCCAUGUUCUGAAACAGUAAUAUGGCUGGAAAUGAUAUUUCCAAAUUCAUCCAAGGGAUAAAACAAGAAACCAAGAUAUCAAAAUCAAGCGAAUUCUAGCAUCACUGAUCCUCUUAAAAUUGACAAUGAUUGGGAAAAUGUGUGUUAACCUUUGUACCUGCCCACGAACGUAGACCGAUUUUGCGGUGGAAAUUUGGCGACGUUUGCAGGCUACCAGACUGACCCUGGUAUACGUCAUAUAAAAAGGCUGGACGAUCCCGAAGAAAAAGUAAAGGGC